rnacentral:rRNA from 1 species
ACUCCUACGGGAGGCAGCAGUGGGGAAUAUUGCACAAUGGGCGCAAGCCUGAUGCAGCCAUGCCGCGUGUGUGAAGAAGGCCUUCGGUUGUAAAGCACUUUCAGUCGUGAGGAAGGUAGUGUAGUUAAUAGCUGCAUUAUUUGUACGUUAGCGACAGAAGAAGCACCGGCUAACUCCGUGCCAGCAGCCGUGGUAAUACGGAGGGGUGCGAGCGUUAAUCGGAAUUACUGGGCGUAAAGCGCAUGCAGGUGGUUUGUUAAGUCAGAUGUGAAAGCCCGGGGCUCAACCUCGGAAUAGCAUUUGAAACUGGCAGACUAGAGUACUGUAGAGGGGGUAGAAUUUCAGGUGUAGCGGUGAAAUGCGUAGAGAUCUGAAGGAAUACCGGUGGCGAAGGCGGCCCCCUGGACAGAUACUGACACUCAGAUGCGAAAGCGUGGGGAGCAAACAGGAUUAGAUACCCUGGUAGACUGUCA